AAAUAUCCAAUCUCCACCAGUCCUGUAUACUGUUCAAAGAAACUCACCUCCUUGGACAGCCAAGAGAACAAAAACCCUAACCUUCUGAUGCUUUGGAACUUCUGCCAUGUUAAUUAUGGACUGCUUAGAGCACUGUACUUACCUGUAUGCUCAGACACUGACGAGACCGAGUAUGAAAAUCCUGCUCAGCAUUUCUUGUAUGAAAGCCUUAAAGUGUAUAACAGCAUACACUUUUUAAAAAUAAUUGUAUAUUGAAACUCUUAACUGUAUAAAGAUGCAACAAUGUUUUAUUUGGAGCCCAAUAAAGAAUUUCCAUCUAAGUUCCUGUUACA
rnacentral:lncRNA from 1 species